CUCGGUUCUCUCACUACUCCUCUCUCAUAUUCCCCUCACCAUUGUUUCCUGCUUUUGUUAAAAGUUGAAAUAUGAGGAACAAGAAACUCUUAUCACCUCUUUUUUCAUCUCUGAAGCUUUUGAAGAAGAAGAAGGGAACCAUACAACAAUCAAUGAGGGCUCUUCUAUUCAGUGAGCAAGAGUGUGGUCCAGGCCGCACAACAGAUACCGAAAUGAUGAAAAGGUACUACCCUAAAAGAAUAGUCCAGGAGCAGAGAAAAUAUCUGGGAAAUAGAGUCAACAACAGCCAAGAGUAUCAUGGUCAGCCGAGGCAUGAAGCAUCUGAGUUAAGUCCUAAAUAUUUAUGGUAACAGCUCAUACCCUUUCAACUACAAUUAAGGUAACACAAUUGAGUUAAGUACUACCCUCAACAGCUCACUGUUUCCAUGCACCAGCGAAAACGACUCAUACCCUUUCAACUACAAUUAUGGUAACACAAACAGAAAUUGUCUCCCCCUUUUUGGUUCAUGUCUUGUUUUUAGGUGGGUCAUGGACUCAUGGGUACAUAUAUGUAACACUUUUUUCUUAAAAUAUUUGGCCUGUCUAAUUUCCUUGAAUACCCAUGGAUGGGUUUUGGUUUUCACUACGAGUAAAAGAUUCCAGUAAAUAUUUUUGAAAUGGGCAUAAUUUUAGAGUGACCACAAUUUACAGUGAAACUGGCCUUUUUCAUCCUACCUUCCAAAACUGCAAUGCAUUGGUUCUUGUGUUCUUUCAUUUUAUAAAAUUGAUUUAUUAAUAUAUUCUUGUUUUCAUGUGGAGGUGGAGAGUUUCAGCAUAUAAGAAUGGGGCGUCUCAAUGAACCAUAUCACAGGAUUUCCAUGACCGUUCAACUCAAAUCAGUUCGUGUCGUCAUGGUGAACGAAGAUGCUACUACUAAUGAAGAUGUUCAUAUCCUCCACAGCGAUACUAGUGCUAUCAUCUCUGAUAAUCAAAACAAGAGGAUCCAGUACCAGCACCCACAACUUGCAAGGAAACUACUGGUGGAUGGUAACAACAGUGGUAGCAGUAGGUAUGAGAGAAAUUUUGUAAUGAGGAAGAGGGGAACCUGCUGGUCUGCUCUGACAAAUAAUUCUUCCCGAUAUCAUCAAUCCCGAGAAUACACUACAGUGAUUAGCAAUCAGAAGUCAUGUUGAAGAACAACAAACCAUCAAGACUUGAAUCAUCUUUGGGCAUUUUUGAGGCUGUCCCAAAAGAAGAGGAAGAAGAAGAGGAACAAACUAUGGGUGAGGACCAAGAUGAGAGUAUCUUCAGGACUAAUAAUAGUACCACUGAUGAUGAUGAUGAUUAUGAUAGUAACAACACUAAAGGCUUGUCGAGCGGAACAAUUGUUGUAGCUAUUAAGCAUAAAAAUGUGGUAAUAAUUUCAAGUGA